rnacentral:rRNA from 1 species
GAAGGUGUGUCGUGAGGCAUGCUGGAGGUAUCAGAAGUGCGAAUGCUGACAUAAGUAACGAUAAAGCGGGUGAAAAGCCCGCUCGCCGGAAGACCAAGGGUUCCUGUCCAACGUUAAUCGGGGCAGGGUGAGUCGACCCCUAAGGCGAGGCCGAAAGGCGUAGUCGAUGGGAAACGGGUUAAUAUUCCCGUACUUGGUGUUACUGCGAAGGGGGGACGGAGAAGGCUAUGUUGGCCGGGCGACGGUUGUCCCGGUUUAAGCGUGUAGGUGUGUGUUCCAGGUAAAUCCGGUUCACUUUAACACUGAGGCGUGACGACGAGGCACUACGGUGCUGAAGCAACAAAUGCCCUGCUUCCAGGAAAAGCCUCUAAGCAUCAGGUAACAUCAAAUCGUACCCCAAACCGACACAGGUGGUCAGGUAGAGAAUACCAAGGCGCUUGAGAGAACUCGGGUGAAGGAACUAGGCAAAAUGGUGCCGUAACUUCGGGAGAAGGCACGCUGACACGUAGGUGAAGUGAUUUACUCAUGGAGCUGAAGUCAGUCGAAGAUACCAGCUGGCUGCAACUGUUUAUUAAAAACACAGCACUGUGCAAACACGAAAGUGGACGUAUACGGUGUGACGCCUGCCCGGUGCCGGAAGGUUAAUUGAUGGGGUCAGCGCAAGCGAAGCUCCUGAUCGAAGCCCCGGUAAACGGCGGCCGUAACUAUAACGGUCCUAAGGUAGCGAAAUUCCUUGUCGGGUAAGUUCCGACCUGCACGAAUGGCGUAAUGAUGGCCAGGCUGUCUCCACCCGAGACUCAGUGAAAUUGAACUCGCUGUGAAGAUGCAGUGUACCCGCGGCAAGACGGAAAGACCCCGUGAACCUUUACUAUAGCUUGACACUGAACAUUGAGCCUUGAUGUGUAGGAUAGGUGGGAGGCUUUGAAGUGUGGACGCCAGUCUGCAUGGAGCCGACCUUGAAAUACCACCCUUUAAUGUUUGAUGUUCUAACGUGGACCCGUUACCCGGGUUGCGGACAGUGUCUGGUGGGUAGUUUGACUGGGGCGGUCUCCUCCUAAAGAGUAACGGAGGAGCACGAAGGUUGGCUAAUC